UGCAGGAUCCCGCGAACCAUCGAGUUUUUGAACGCAAGUUGCGCCCAAAGCCUUUUGGCCGAGGGCACGUCUGCCUGGGUGUCACGCAACCGUCGCCCCCAAUCCCUCGCCCGUGCGUGGGCUGUGUGGGGCGGAUGCUGGCCUCCCGUGUGCUCUAUGCUCGCGGUUGGCCUAAAAUCAUAGUCCUCGGCAACGAUCGUCACGGCAAUCGGUGGUUGGAAGGCCCUCGGAUUCUGCCGUGUACGCCGUCCGCUGGAAGGAAAAAUGAUGACCCGGAUGCAUCCGUAGAAGGAAUGCUCGCUCUGCGACCCCAGGUCAGGCGGGAAUACCCGCUGAGUUUAAGCAUAUCAAUAAGCGGAGGAAAAGAAACUUACCAGGAUUCCCCUAGUAACGGCGAGCGAACCGGGAAGAGCCCAGCUUGAGAAUCGGGCGUCCUCGGCGUCCGA
rnacentral:rRNA from 1 species